GACGAACGCUGGCGGCGUGCCUAAUACAUGCAAGUUGAGCGCUGAAGGUUGGUACUUGUACCAACUGGAUGAGCAGCGAACGGGUGAGUAACGCGUGGGGAAUCUGCCUUUGAGCGGGGGUCAACAUUUGGAAACGAAUGCUAAUACCGCAUAAAAACUUUAAACACAAGUUUUAAGUUUGAAAGAUGCAAUUGCAUCACUCAAAGAUGAUCCCGCGUUGUAUUAGCUAGUUGGUGAGGUAAAGGCUCACCAAGGCGAUGAUACAUAGCCGACCUGAGAGGGUGAUCGGCCACAUUGGGACUGAGACACGGCCCAAACUCCUACGGGAGGCAGCAGUAGGGAAUCUUCGGCAAUGGACGAAAGUCUGACCGAGCAACGCCGCGUGAGUGAAGAAGGUUUUCGGAUCGUAAAACUCUGUUGGUAGAGAAGAACGUUGGUGAGAGUGGAAAGCUCAUCAAGUGACGGUAACUACCCAGAAAGGGACGGCUAACUACGUG
rnacentral:rRNA from 1 species